rnacentral:rRNA from 1 species
AGGCAGCAGUGGGGAAUAUUGGACAAUGGGCGAAAGCCUGAUCCAGCCAUGCCGCGUGUGUGAAGAAGGCCUUUUGGUUGUAAAGCACUUUAAGCGAGGAGGAGGCUACCGAGAUUAAUACUCUUGGAUAGUGGACGUUACUCGCAGAAUAAGCACCGGCUAACUCUGUGCCAGCAGCCGCGGUAAUACAGAGGGUGCGAGCGUUAAUCGGAUUUACUGGGCGUAAAGCGUGCGUAGGCGGCUUUUUAAGUCGGAUGUGAAAUCCCUGAGCUUAACUUAGGAAUUGCAUUCGAUACUGGGAAGCUAGAGUAUGGGAGAGGAUGGUAGAAUUCCAGGUGUAGCGGUGAAAUGCGUAGAGAUCUGGAGGAAUACCGAUGGCGAAGGCAGCCAUCUGGCCUAAUACUGACGCUGAGGUACGAAAGCAUGGGGAGCAAACAGGAUUAGAUACCCUGGUAG